rnacentral:rRNA from 1 species
CGGGUGAGUAACAGGUGAGUAGCCUGCCCUUGAAUCUGGGAUAAUUGCUAAAAAUGGUAGAUAAUACGGGAUACGACCCUCAGUGGCAUCGCCAGGGGGUGGAAAGAAUUUCGGUCAAGGAUGGACUCGCGGCAUAUCAACUAGUUGGUGAGGUAACGGCUCUCCAAGGAGACGACGGGUAGCCGGCCUGAGAGGGUGACCGGCCACACUGGGACUGAGACACGGCCCAGACUCUUACGGGAGGCAGCAGUGGGGAAUAUUGCACAAUGGGGGCAAGCGUGA